UACAGAGGUCUCAAGCGUUGUUCGGAUUCAUUGGGCGUAAAGGGUGCGUAGGCGGCGCGGUAAGUCGGGUGUGAAAUCUUGGAGCUUAACUCCGAAACUGCAUUCGAUACUGCCGUGCUUGAGGACUGGAGAGGAGACUGGAAUUUACGGUGUAGCGGUGAAAUGCGUAGAUAUCGUAAGGAAGACCAGUGGCGAAGGCGACUCACUGGACACAUAUUGACGCUGAGGUGACGAAAGGCGUGGGGAGCAAACAGG
rnacentral:rRNA from 1 species